rnacentral:rRNA from 1 species
AUGGCUCCUUCAAUCAUCUUCAACGACACGGUCCAGGGGGAGGUUUUCCUCCUUGGACAGAUCUUCAUAUUCGGCGGCUUCAUACUGCGGGCCAACUCGUUUGUCCAUCUAGAGAAGAUCGAUAGCUACGCCCCUGGCCACCAAGUUAGGUUUAGAAGCUUGAACUAUACUGACGACAUCCGCGGAGACUUGAUCUUCGAGGGAUUCGAGCCCAUGUCACGUGCGCCGAGCAGUCAUGAUGAGCAUGACUUAGAUCUGCCAUUGGACAAUGUUCGGGAGAUCACGCCAGCGGCGGCCCUAGGAAUCAAUCCGGAGCAGAUCGCACCAUCCGAGGAUGGGUGGAUGGACCCCACCACGGAGGCCGCACACUCAUCAGCGUUGGAGGUGAACACU